rnacentral:lncRNA from 1 species
ACAACAUACGGGUGAGUGGUCCAAGCAUUAAUAAAUGUAAUUGUAAACAAUAAUUCACUCCAAAAAAAAAAGUGAAUUUAUCCAAAAUGAGUAGGAGCCCCACCAUUUGUUUCUCUCUUAUUAGUAAAGAUUAUCAAGAAAUACAGCCAUUUAAUGAGGGAAAAAAAAAAAAGAAGAAGAAUUACAUCAUAAAGCAUUUAUAAGGUAUAUCAGGGUUGGAAGAUUUUUUAACUGUCCUAACCUUGCCAAGAUUUUGGGAUUUCGUAUUCGUUUCGAUUUUCAUAAGAAGUGUCGAUGCAGUUAUGAUCAAGGCCAGCAAUACUCAAAAUGCCACUAUGAGAAAUAGGCCUUAAUCCCAAGAAAUCCCUUGUAGUUCCAUCAA